AAAUGUCAUGAUAUUUGGCUUGUUCCUUUUCUAAUCCUAAACUAAUUUGUUACUCUAUGAUGUUUAUUUGCCAUUCAACCUAUUUAUAAGCUUCUAAUGGCAGGUUUACUGUAGAUUAAGCCCAGUUUCGCUGCAUGAAAGGUUAUGGAAUCACAUGAAAGUUUAUUUACUGGUUAGCUUUGUAUCCCUGCUAGAUCUGAAAAUGAAAAUAUGCCAUUUCCUCAAAAAAUCUGAUAGAUUGCAGCAGGGGUGGUGGUUUGGAUUAGUCAAACGGAACUUGUUGCAGUAGACAUAAGGUGUUUGCUUUUGCUGGCUGGACACUUGCCAAGGUACGAUCUGCUACACUCGACACAUGGCUUCCAGAACCAGUUGCAUUUAUUCAAACAAUGGGAAAUGAGAAGUCAAAUAGCUACUGGGAAGCAGAACUGUCUCCAAAUUACAACAGAAAUCUUUUGGUGGGCUCUAGUUGAUGAAUAGCCUGGAUCCAUCACACGUGCUACGAAUCACCUUAGCACCCAUUUUCUACGUAACAUCUGUUUGUUUGUGGUCUAAACACCUUCUUGGUCUUAUUGGAUGUCUUUCACUUGGCAAUACGAGAUUUCUUGUGCAUCAACUAAAGCUUUGUGUUUUCCUAAAUUGUACAUGGUAAAAUGGGAUUUCACUAACUUGUUAGCAUGCCUGACUUGAGCUGACAAAACAGGUUUCUUCUAAUUCAAAAGCAGAGCCGGUCUCAGUGCAGGCUGAUUCAACACAGAAAGUGCAACCUACACCCAAUAUCCCACCUCCAAAGGUUGUUGAAAUCAUUGACCGGUAUGAGACAGUGCAUUCCAAAGAGCUCAAGAGGCAAUAAGCUUGCAUUUAUAUAGGACCCGAAAAUGGACAAAACCUGCACCAGGAUAGUAACAGACAUGUUUCCGAGGGGGCAAAACCCAAAGGUAGGGGAGCUCUGAAGAAGGCUCCUGCUUGAAAGGUGUGCUUGCAAAUCCUGAACUUCUUAUUUCCCAAGUAUCUCCCUGUUUUGGUGGACUCCUCAUUGCCUUUUUGGUUUCGGUCUUUCAACAAAAAAUGCCGACUGCCGUUGAUAGUGAAGAGGAAGAUGAUGAGGUGCUCGAGCUGAAAGAAUGAAUGAUGAGGUGCUCGAGCUGAAAGAAUGAAUGAUUGUGUUAAGAUUAGGGCUGAAGUUGGAAAUGAAUGAUUGUGUUUGAUUGAAUGAAUGAAUGAUUGUGUUUGAUUGAAUGAAUAAAUGACUGUGUUUGAUUGAA